rnacentral:rRNA from 1 species
GGCCCUAUGGGUUGUAAACUGCUUUUACACCGGAGAAAACCCCCCUACUGUAGGGGGCUGAUAGUAUGGUGAGAAUAACCAUCGGCUAACUAUCUGUGCCAUGCAUCCGCGUGUAAGACGAAGGAUGCAAGCGUUAUCCGCGAUUCAUUGAGUUUAAAGGGAGCGUAGGACGGUCCGAUAACUCAGUGGUGAAAUCUCCUGGCUUAACUACGAAAUUGCCAUUGAUACUGUUGGGCUUGAGUACAGUUGCCGUUGGCGGAAUAUGACAUGUAGUGGUGAAAUACAUAGAGAUGUCAUAGAACACCGAUUGCGAAGGCAGCUAACGAAACUGUAACUGACGCUGAGGCUCGAAAGUGCGGGGAUCAAACAGGAUUAGAUACCCUGGUAGUCCGCACUGUAAACGAUGAUUACUCGCUGCUGGGAGGUAACUUUCAGUGGCUUAGCGAAAGCGAUAAGUAAUCCACCUGGGGAGUACGCCGGCAACGGUGAAACUCAAAGGAAUUGACGGGGGCCCGCACAAGCGGAGGAGCAUGUGGUUUAAUUCGAUGAUACGCGAGGAACCUUACCAGUGCUUGAAAGUUAGUGACCGACUCUGAAAGGAGUCUUU